UACGUAGGGGGCAAGCGUUGUCCGGAAUCAUUGGGCGUAAAGCGCGUGUAGGCGGCUAGGUAAGUCUGCUCUGAAAGUCAGGGGCUCAACCCCUGAAUGCGGGUGGAUACUGCUGGGCUAGAGUCCGGAAGAGGCGAGUGGAAUUCCUGGUGUAGCGGUGAAAUGCGCAGAUAUCAGGAGGAACACCGAUGGCGAAGGCAGCUCGCUGGGACGGUACUGACGCUGAGGCGCGAAAGCGUGGGGAGCAAACAGG
rnacentral:rRNA from 1 species